CUACGGGAGGCAGCAGUGGGGAAUCUUGAGCAAUGGGCGAAAGCCUGACGCAGCGACGCCGCGUGAGUGAUGAAGGCCUUCGGGUUGUAAAGCUCUGUGGAGAGGGACGAAUAAGUCGUGGCUAACAUCCACGAUGAUGACGGUACCUCUUUAGCAAGCACCGGCUAACUCUGUGCCAGCAGCCGCGGUAAGACAGAGGGUGCAAACGUUGUUCGGAAUUACUGGGCGUAAAGCGCGUGUAGGCUGCCCCGCAAGUCGGAUGUGAAAGCCCUGGGCUCAACCUAGGAAGUGCAUUCGAAACUGCGGGGCUGGAGUCCUGGAGAGGAAGGCGGAAUUCUCGGUGUAGAGGUGAAAUUCGUAGAUAUCGAGAGGAACACCGGUGGCGGAGGCGGCCUUCUGGACAGUGACUGACGCUGAGACGCGAAAGCGUGGGGAGCAAACAGGAUUAGAUACCCGGGUAC
rnacentral:rRNA from 1 species